rnacentral:rRNA from 1 species
CUACGGGUGGCUGCAGUCGAGAAUCUUUGGCAAUGGACGAAAGUCUGACCAAGCGACGCCGCGUGCGGGAUGAAGGCCUUCGGGUUGUAAACCGCUGUCAGUUGGGAGGAAAUCACAUGGGGUCCUCUCCAUGCGUUGACCUAUCUUCAGAGGAAGGACGGGCUAAGUUCGUGCCAGCAGCCGCGGUAAGACGAACCGUCCAAACGUUAUUCGGAAUCACUGGGCUUAAAGGGUGCGUAGGCGGCCCUGUAAGUUGGGUGUGAAAUCCCUCGGCUCAACCGAGGAAUUGCGCCCAAUACUGCAGGGCUAGAGAGAGACAGAGGUGAGCGGAACUUGUGGUGGAGCGGUGAAAUGCGUUGAUAUCACAAGGAACACCUGUGGCGAAGGCGGCUCACUGGGUCUCUUCUGACGCUGAGGCACGAAAGCUGGGGGAGCGAACGGGAUUAGAUACCCCAGUAGUC